UGGGGAAUAUUGGACAAUGGGGGGAACCCUGAUCCAGCAAUGCCGCGUGUGUGAAGAAGGCCUGAGGGUUGUAAAGCACUUUCAGUGGGGAGGAGUGGGGUUUAGGUUAAGAGCUAGAACUUCGGACGUUACCCACAGAAGAAGCACCGGCUAACUCCGUGCCAGCAGCCGCGGUAAUACGGAGGGUGCAAGCGUUAAUCGGAAUUACUGGGCGUAAAGGGUGCGUAGGUGGUCUGAUAAGUUAGCUGUGAAAUUCCUGGGCUUAACCUGGGGUGGUCAGCUAAGACUGUUAGACUGGAGUAUGGGAGAGGGUAGUGGAAUUUCCGGUGUAGCGGUGAAAUGCGUAGAGAUCGGAAGGAACACCAGUGGCGAAGGCGGCUACCUGGCCUAAUACUGACACUGAGGCACGAAAGCGUGGGGAGCAAACA
rnacentral:rRNA from 1 species